GAUGAACGCUGGCGGCGUGCCUAAUACAUGCAAGUCGAGCGAACGGACGAGAAGCUUGCUUUUCUGAUGUUAGCAGCGGACGGGUGAGUAACACGUGGAUAACCUACCUAUAAGACUGGGAUAACUUCGGGAAACCGGAGCUAAUAUCGGAUAAUAUUUUGAACCGCAUGGUUCAAAAGUGAAAGACGGUCUUGCUGUCACUUAUAGAUGGAUCCGCGCUGCAUUAGCUAGUUGGUAAGGUAACGGCUUACCAAGGCAACGAUGCAUAGCCGACCUGAGAGGGUGAUCGGCCACACUGGAACUGAGACACGGUCCAGACUCCUACGGGAGGCAGCAGUAGGGAAUCUUCCGCAAUGGGCGAAAGCCUGACGGAGCAACGCCGCGUGAGUGAUGAAGGUCUUCGGAUCGUAAAACUCUGUUAUUAGGGAAGAACAUAUGUGUAAGUAACUGUGCACAUCUUGACGGUACCUAAUCAGAAAGCCACGGCUAACUACGUG
rnacentral:rRNA from 1 species